GAGACUCUGUGCGCGUGCAUAUCAAUAAGCGGAGGAAAAGAAACUAACAAGGAUUCCCCUAGUAACGGCGAGUGAAGCGGGAAGAGCUCAAAUUUGAAAUCUUAAAGGGUUUCCCUUUACGAAUUGUAGUUUAAAGAAGUGUUUUCUGUUGGAGUUUCGGUAAAAGUUCUUUGGAAUAGGGACAUCAUAGAGGGUGAGAAUCCCGUAUUUGACCGUUACUUUCCAGCUGUGUGAUACACUUUCAAAGAGUUGGAUUGUUUGGGAAUGCAGUCCAAGAUGGGUGGUAAAUUUCAUCUAAAGCUAAAUAUUGGCGAGAGACCGAUAGCGAACAAGUACCGUGAGGGAAAGAUGAAAAGAACUUUGAAAAGAGAGUUAAACAGUACGUGAAAUUGUCAAAAGGGAAGCGUUUGACACCAGUGUUGUUUAGUUCGAAAAUCAAUUACGAAUAGUUUUUGAUUUUAAGUAGUUAUGACUUCAUCAGCUUGCUGCCUUUCUUCUCAUGAAACUUUCUUGAAUGCACUUUUCAGUUAACAAGUCAACAUCAAUUUCUUUUGUUGUAAAAGGGUAAGAGGAAGGUGGCUUGCGCUUCGGCUCAAGUGUUUAUAGCCUUUUAUCUCUGCAAUCGGAGAGAUUGAGGUCUGCAGCGUAGAUCCUUCGGGGUUAGAUACAUUUGGUGCUAAGUUAUAGCUUGUCAUAGACAACUUGUUGACUAUGUUAGUCAUUGUAGCUUACUCGCUGACUGCUAUUUUACCUACGCUUAGGAUGUUGACAGCAGUAUAGACUGU
rnacentral:rRNA from 1 species